UACGAGGGGGGCGAGCGUUGUUCGGAAUUAUUGGGCGUAAAGGGCGCGUAGGCGGUCGGAUAAGUCUUGUGUGAAAUCUUCGGGCUCAACUCGAAGUCUGCACAGGAAACUAUCUGGCUUGAAUGUGGGAGAGGUGAGUGGAAUUCCUGGUGUAGCGGUGAAAUGCGUAGAUAUCAGGAGGAACACCUGUGGCGAAAGCGGCUCACUGGACCACAACUGACGCUGAGGCGCGAAAGCUAGGGGAGCAAACAGG
rnacentral:rRNA from 1 species